rnacentral:rRNA from 1 species
UCUAUAAGAAACUUCACUUAUAGUAAAACCUGCUCAAUGAUUUAAAUAAAUAGCCGCAGACAACUGUGCUAAGGUAGCAUAAUAAAUUGCUUCUUAAUUAGGAGAUUGUAUGAAAGGUUUCACACCUAAACCCUGUCUCUCUUUAGGCCAAUUUAACUUGAGAAAAAAGUUAAAACUCUUUUAAACCCCGGCGGGACGACAAGACCCUGACAAACUUAACAUUUAGUUGGGGAAACACUUCAAAAACACUUUAUAUUCACUUUAAUACACAACUCAAACAUUAAAUCAAGCCUAGUUACUGCAGGGAUAACAGCGUUAUUUCUUUUAAGAGACCUUAUCUAAAAAGAAGUUUACGACCUCGAUGUUGAAUUAGUUUACCUAAAAACCGCAACAGGCUUUACAAGGUAGUCUGUUCGACUAUUAAAAAACU